AUAAUCAUUUUGCUUGUUCUGCAGGUGCCCAUAUUUAUUAUCUCUUCUGUAGCAGAAGAAUUAUUGGCAUUCUCCAAUAUGAUAACAAGAAUGGUUAUGCAAGCAGCGACAAGAAAAACUUUAUUCUGGCGAGCCAUUGUUUGCACAUGUAGAGCUUAUAAAAGAGAAAAAGCUUCAUAUGUUUCCUGCAGUUCUUUCUCAUAAACUAUUAACAAUUUGGCAGGAACCAUGCAUAGUAUUUUGCCCUCAAUGGAGCUUGCGGUUUGGACCUGUUGUUCAUUUUCUUCGACGAUGGCGUGGAGAUCAUAACCCUUUACUUGUUA